rnacentral:rRNA from 1 species
GAAGUAGCAAUACUUAGUGGCGAACGGGUGAGUAUAAUGUGGGUAUCUGCCUUUUGGUCUGGAAUAACACGGGGAAACUUGUGCUAAUACUAGAUAAGCCUUUACAGGGAAAGCUUUAGCGCCAAUAGAUGAGCUCACACUUGAUUAACUAGUUGGUAGGGUAAUGGCCUACCAAGGUUGCGAUCAAUAGCUGAUCUGAGAGGAUGAUCAGCCACAUUGGGACUGAGACACGGCCCAGACUCCUACGGGAGGCAGCAGUGGGGAAUCUUGCACAAUGGGGGAAACCCUGAUGCAGCGAUGUCGCGUGAGUGAAGAAGGCCUUUGGGUUGUAAAGCUCUUUCGUCGGGGAAGAAAAUGACUGUACCCGAAUAAGAAGGUCCGGCUAACUUCGUGCCAGCAGCCGCGGUAAUACGAAGGGACCUAGCGUAGUUCGGAAUUACUGGGCUUAAAGAGCACGUAGGUGGUUAAAAAAGUUGGUGGUGAAAUCCCAAGGCUUAACCUUGGAACUGCCACCAAAACUUUUUAACUAGAGUGUGAUAGAGGUAAGCGGAAUUUCUAGUGUAGAGGUGAAAUUCGUAGAUAUUAGAAAGAACAUCAAUUGCGAAGGCAGCUUUCUGGAUCAUUACUGACACUGAGGUGCGAAAGCAUGGGUAGCGAAGAGGAUUAGAUACCCUCGUAGUCCAUGCUGUAAACGAUGUGUGCUAGACGUU